rnacentral:siRNA from 1 species
GCUAAAGUGAUGAUGUGUU